UUCGCAAUGCCCGAAAGGGUGACGAAGCGACGCCGCGUGUGGGAAGAAGGCCUUCGGGUUGUAAACCGCUGUUGGGAGUUAGGAAGUGUGGGAGUGUUAAUAGCGCUUCCACUUGACUAAAGCUCCAGAGGAAGCCACGGCUAACUCUGUGCCAGCAGCCGCGGUAAUACAGAGGCGGCAAGCGUUGUUCGGAAUUAUUGGGCGUAAAGAGCACGUAGGCGGCUAUGUAAGUCGGUUGUGAAAGCCUUCCGCUCAACGGAAGAACAGCAUCCGAUACUACAUGGCUUGAGUGCGGGAGGGGAGAGUGGAACUUCUGGUGGAGCGGUGAAAUGCGUAGAUAUCAGAAGGAACGCCGGCGGCGAAAGCGGCUCUCUGGCCCAUAACUGACGCUGAGUGUGCGAAAGCUAGGGGAGCAAACGGGAUUAGAUACCCCGGUAGUCCUAGCCGUAAACGAUGGGCACUAAGUAGAGGGGUUUU
rnacentral:rRNA from 1 species